rnacentral:rRNA from 2 species
CUCUGAGACAGGUGCUGCAUGGCUGUCGUCAGCUCGUGUUGUGAAAUGUUGGGUUAAGUCCCGCAACGAGCGCAACCCUUAUCCUUGUUUGCCAGCACUUCGGGUGGGAACUCCAGGGAGACUGCCGGUGAUAAACCGGAGGAAGGUGGGGACGACGUCAAGUCAUCAUGGCCCUUACGAGUAGGGCUACACACGUGCUACAAUGGCGUAUACAGAGGGCUGCCAACUCGCGAGAGUGAGCGAAUCCCAGAAAGUACGUCGUAGUCCGGAUUGGAGUCUGCAACUCGACUCCAUGAAGUCGGAAUCGCUAGUAAUCGUGAAUCAGAAUGUCACGGUGAAUACGUUCCCGGGCCUUGUACACACCGCCCGUCACACCAUGGGAGUGGGCUGCACCAGAAGUAGAUAGCUUAACCUUCGGGAGGGCGUUUACCACGGUGUGGUUCAUGACUGGGGUGAAGUCGUAACAAGGUAGCCCUAGGGGAACCUGGGGCUGGAUCACCUCCUUACCUAAAGA